UGAGGGUUGGGGGGUCAGAUUGGCGGUCUGGAUUUGGGGGAGCUCAUUGUUUUAAAUUGUAAAGCACUUUGUGCUGCAUUUCUUUUGCCUGAAAAGUGCUAUAUAAAUAAAGUUUGAUUUGAUUUGAUUUGAUUUGAUUUGAAGGGCAUGUCAAACCCUGUUUUACUCACCAAACAGAGAACACCCAUGUGGCUGAAGUUUGUUACAUCCUUAUUGGACACAACAGUGUAAUUAGGUUGAAGGAGUUAGGGUUAUAUAAUUUCAUUUAUAUGAACUUCUAGAAUUUAUUCUCCCAGCACAAGAGGAACUUUGUGUGAUUAUGUGUUUAUGCAUUUAGAUCCAAGCAUUGAGUCUUACACCAAAGAAAAGCCAGGCUGUAUGACUUUCUAAAUGAAUUGAUCAUUCAUGUGCAUCCCCGUAUCAUCAGGGAUGCACAUGUAUAUAUGGUUUCCCCUUAAGAGAUUUAGAGUCCAUGCAGUGAUUUCCUAUUCAGAGUCCUGUCUGUGUUUAAUGCAGUGCUACCUGAGGGCCUAAAGAUCAGGACCAUUAAGUCUUGGUUUUUGUCCUUGUCCCUUUAGUACAGAGAUUUCUCCAGAUUUUUUGAAUCUUUAUAUGAUAUUGUCAUGAUCUGUGUUUUGUUGAAUCCACUUCCUGUUUUAGUUUGAAGAUCCUGUUUUCCCAGUGUUACUUUUACUUUUACUUCCUGUCUUUGUUCUUUUUCCCGCCUUAGUUAAUUACUCCAUUGGCUUCACCUGUGUCUUGUCCCCUUUUCUAUUUAACCCCUCCUCACAAGCUCUUCCCUGCCAGAUUGUCUUUGUUACUUUUAUACAAGCUCUCUCGCGUUCUGAUAUUUCUCUGCCCUCUGUGUUUAACCUGUUUUGAUCUCCCUGGACUUCAGAUUCUUGCCUGCCCCAUUGGUUUUGUCGCCUGAUCAUUGCUGCCCUGUUGAUUUUUACCCUGCCGGGUUUUUCUGGAUUAAAAGAGUUUGCCUUUUUGGAAACAGAACAUUUGCCUCACGUCCUCUGUUUUUGGGUCCACACACUCUCGGCCUCUCACAGAUAUGAUGUUCUGUAGAUGAUGAAAUCCACUCAUUCUUUCACAUUUGACAAUCAGGAACAUUAUUCUGAAACUGCUCAACUAUUAGCUCACACAGUCUCUCACAGAGUGGUGAACCUCUUCCAUCUUUCCUUCUGAUAGACUCAGCCUCUCUGAAUGUCCGUUUUAUACACAGUCAUGUUACUAACCUGUUGGAAAUCAGCCUCAUUAGUUGGAGAUGUUCCACCAGCUGUUUUUUUUUUUCCAGCAUUGCACAACUUUUUACCUGCUUGGUCAUUCCUCUGUAAAAACUUUUUACCUGUUUGGUUGUUCCUCUAUAAUGGGCUCUAUUUUCGUGCCUUGCCGGUGGCGUGGCACUGGCGCAGCGUAAGGUCCGGGUCUGCCGCACCAGCGCCAUGCCAACAAGGCAUGCCAAAGCACGUUUUGGUAUUUUGGUGAGCGGCACUGCCGGGCGUAAGUAUCCCCCCUCCCUAACUCAGCUCCUCCCAAUGGCGUAAGUAGUAGAGAGGGAGGAGAUAGGGCGUAGAGUGGGUUAAACACAGCUGAGACCUGUUUUCACCAAUCACAGAAGCUCCUCUCCCCACCGGCCACCGGUGAGGCAUAUUACAAUUUUCGUGAAGUAAUAAUAAUAAUAAUAGAUUUUAUUUGUAACGCACUUUACAUUUAAAAACAAAUCUCAAAGUGCACAACAAGACAACAAUAACAGUAAAAACCAAGCAACAGGGCAAAACAAUUAAAAAAAAAAAAAAAAAACAGUCAACAUAAAAAACAGUCAGCAGAUAAAAUCAGAUAAAAUUAGUCCGGGUAGGCUUUCCGAAUGAGGAAGGUUUUGAGUUCUUUUUUAAAAGCAUCCACCGACUGUGGAGCCCUGAGGUGGUCGGGGAGGGCGUUCCACAGACGGGGAGCAGCAGCCUCGAAGGCCCUGUCACCCAUGGUCUUGAGCUGAGUCCUGGGCGGGCGCAGACGGUGCAGUUGGCCUGACCGGGUUCUGGCUGAGGUAUGUGGGGUGAGGAGUUUGGUGAGGUAGGUGGGGGCUGCACCGUGCAGACAGUGAUGGGUGUGAAGGAGGAUUUUGAAUUCAAUGCGGAGGUGAACAGGGAGCCAGUGCAGAGUGCAAAGGAUGGGGGUGAUGUGCUCAUGUUUACGCACUCUCAUCAGGACCCGGGCGGCGCUGUUCUGGACAUGUUGGAGCCUUUGUAAGCUCUUGGCCGGGAUCCCGAUGAGAAGCACGUUACAGUAGUCGAGCCUGGAGGAGACAAAGGC